rnacentral:rRNA from 1 species
CCUACGGGUGACUGCAGUGAGGAAUAUUGGUCAAUGGACGAGAGUCUGAACCAGCCAAGUAGCGUGAAGGAUGACUGCCCUAUGGGUUGUAAACUUCUUUUAUAUGGGAAUAAAACGUUCCACGUGUGGGAUUUUGUAUGUACCAUAUGAAUAAGGAUCGGCUAACUCCGUGCCAGCAGCCGCGGUAAUACGGAGGAUCCGAGCGUUAUCCGGGUUUAUUGGGUUUAAAGGGAGCGUAGGGGGAUUGUUAAGUCAGUUGUGAAAGUUUGCGGCUCAACCGUAAAAUUGCAGUUGAAACUGGCAGUCUUGAGUACAGUAGAGGUGGGCGGAAUUCGUGGUGUAGCGGUGAAAUGCUUAGAUAUCACGAAGAACUCCGAUUGCGAAGGCAGUUCACUGGACUGCAACUGACACUGAGGCUCGAAAGUGUGGGUAUCAAACAGGAUUAGAUACCCCUGUAGUC